rnacentral:tRNA from 1 species
UGGGAUGUAGCUCUUAAAGGUAGAGCGCCUGGCUUUUAAAGUCAGGAGGUUGUAGGUUCGAAUCCUGCUAUCUCAA